GAGAAAACUAGGGUUGGAUCCACCGUAACAUUUUCACCUCUGUCGUUGAAUUCAUCUCUGUAGUAUAGGAGUUGUCUAUGUUUUAUGUAUUGUGUUUCUGCUUCUGUAAGGUGGGACCCAUCUGAGACAAUGGAUGAGGAUAGUGUUGUUGUUAAACUUAGGAAGAAUGAAAAAAGAACAAUAACAUAAGAUGGAGAUGAAUAAUGCUGUUUCUUCCUCAUCUCACAUGAGGCAUCUGAAAAAAAAUAAUGAAUGUUGUUUUUCACUAGUGAAUGUUUAGAUGAUUCUAAAUGUGUGUUCUUUGUGGUUAACUAGCACAAAUAAAAUUUGAAGUAAGGAUAUGGUAAGAUUAUGAGUUUGUGAGAUCUAAGAGAAAUGGAAAUGGAAAAUGUGGUUGUUUAAUGUGAGAGAGGUAGAGAGAGAAGAUGAGGAAGAUGAUUUUCUAGGGAUUUUGGAACUGUGUGAGAAGGUGUAUAUGAGUGUGUGAAGAGAGAGAAGGUGAGAGUGGAGAUGAAAUAAUUCAUUCCAAGGGACAGCUAAAUCACAGCUCAAAGCCCACCAGAUUCUCUCUCUAUCUUUUUUCCUAGGCUCUUGUUUUUUUAUUCAUAUUUAUGGUUGGUCUUAUUUGUUUUUUUCACUUAACAUUUUUUUCUAACCAUUGUUUAGAUAUACUUGAUCUCCACUAAACUCUCUAAACCAAUCUUUUCUAUUACGAGAAUCACGGUGAUUUGUGAUUUUAUUCAAGCUAUAUAUUUCUUUUUUGACAGAUUAUUGAAGCUAUAUAUAAAAUUACAAUAUAUCACUGUAAUUGCGACAUACACCUGUAAUAUCAAAUAUAUACUAAGAUAUUUUUAGAGUUAAUGAGUCUGUUAAAAGACUAAAAUAUGAGUCCAUUGUCAUGACGUCAACACUUUCAUUAUUAUGUAGUUAUAACUUAUUUGUUUGUGCAUUUUAUUUUUGUGACUUACUAUCGUUUCGUAUACAAAGAAUGUAAGACUAAUCAACUGUAGUUGACAUACAUGAUUUUAGUUGUAACUUUGAUUUUAGUCUAAAAUUUCACUAAUAUGAGUAGUAAGGUUAAUGUUUCUAACAUGGGUGUCCCUUAACUUAAAAUUCUAUUUCCAUUAAAAAAUGCAAGACUAUUUUAGCAUUUACUCUAUUAACUAUAGGUUAAAUUUUUCUAAUUCUUGGUUAAACUACAUUUCAUUUGAGCCAAGAAAAAAACUUAGUUGUCACACACUUUGAAUAAAGGGCAGACGCGGAUAGAAGAAAGAAUAAGGCGUGUGCAAUGGAAUAAACAGUUGUCAAAAAUUAGUAAUAAGACUUCUUAAACCAAAAGAGAAAAACAAGUAUUCUUUUAAGUUGAAAAUAUGUUUAGAAAAAAAAUUAUCAUAAAAAAAAAAAACUAAUCAUUGUUUCCAUUACUAUAUUUUAAACAAAAAAAAUAUAAUGAUGAUUAUUUAGAGUUGUUGUAACUUACUAGUAUUUUUUUAUUGAAGAAAAUAUAGAAAGCUGUUAGCAUGAUCCUCAACUUUGAUGGUAGCUUAAGUUUAAUUAAAUAAUAAUUAAUCAAAGUGUUAAUUGAAUUGUCAAAUCGUUUUGUUUAAUCAUAACCUGAGAAGUGGUUGUUUGUGUCGGCGUCUAUUGCCAUAUCAGCAACCUCUUUUUUAAAUUUAAAUAAAUAAAUAGACAAUAAAAUAAAUUAAUAAAAUUAAGAAUUAAAUUAUGUCAUGGUAUUUGGACUUUUUCAAAUUUCUACAAUCCCGUGAUAUUGAUAAUUUGUGGACGGCUUUUUUGCCUUAUGAAUGAAUUUAUGGCUUUUUCAGAUUAACUUACUCCACCGAUUUCUCUUUUUUUAAUUAAAAUUCUUUUGGAGAUUCUUAAUUAUAGAUGACUAAUUUUAGAGCAACUAAUUAUGGAAAGCAAAAUGUUGAUUGACUUUGAGAGUUAUUAGUAGGUCCUACGAUGUAGAAGAAUGUCAUUGGUCCAUUAGGAAGAAAAUUCAAAGUAUUUUGAUGACGAUUAUUCCGCAAUAGAGACCAAUUAAUAAGAUUGAAUUGAAUGAUUAAGACAAUCCCCAUGUAGAUAGUUGUGUUUAACGGUGAGUAAAUCAUUCCGAAUUUAAUAUGUAUAAUUCUUUUUAACAAAAUGAGUUUCUUUUGUCUCACAAUAAAUAUUACUCAUAUUUUACUGUAGUUUAGGUAGAUGGGUACUCUCUGUCCAUCUAUCCGUUCUUUUUAUUGCAUUAAUAUGUAUAAUUUAUGAACUAUAGUUUUUAUGAAUUUUUGUUUUUUUUUUAAUAAACAAAAAUGGAAUAUAUAUUAAUAAUAAAGAAGCCGCAACUCAAUCACAAGAUGUGCCCAAAGAAGUCAACUCACGUUUACAACCAGAGUCCAACAACCGAAGACAAAAACAGACGAAUUAUGCUCAUUGCCCAAAUGGAUUCGCUCAUUCCCAAAGUAAAUGAUCGAAAUGCCCCUACGCAUGUUAACAUGCGCUAGUGCAAAUUAGAACAUAACUUAAGAUAUGUUGCCUAAGUUAACAUGCACUAGUGUUAAUUGUGUGUUAUUUGUUGAAUACUUAGCGUAUGUUAACAUGCGCCAGUGUAUUGUGUAACGUGAGUUAACUCACGUUUCCAUUUGCUCUAGCGUUAGUUAACUCACGUUCAUACUCCCUCCAUUCCUUUUCUUUUGAUGUUUUAGAACUUCAACUAUAUUCCAAAACUUUUGAUGUUUUAGUGAAUUUGUUAUUGUUUUCUCAAGUUUACCCUUGUUGGAAAACACAAUAAACUAUUAAAGUAGUUGUGACCUUUGGUUUAUCAUAUGUGACUUUAAUGAUAAAUACGGACAUUUAAGUAAAAAAUACACAAAUGUUUAUAUACUUUAAUUACUCCUUAAAACUUGUGUCAAGAGCUAAAACAUCAAAAGAAAAUGAAUGGAGGGAGUAGAAGACAACAGAAACUGCAAUAAGUGCAGGCAGUUACAGAACUGUCUUUUGAAAAGUUUAGAAUGACCCGUAAUCACGACACAUUCAUAACUUAACCGAAUUACGCCAGUUUAAGAAGAUUAUCGAAUAAUACGACAUAAUCGAUCCAAAUUACUCAAAAACAUCGUUUUUCUCACAAUCACGUAAUCACACAUAAACGAUCCAAACGGUCCAAAUUUCACAAAUUCGCCGAUAAUGACCCGUAAUAAUUUAAACACACUCAAUGACACGUAAACGAUCCAAAAUAAUUCAUUUCAUAUAUUUAUAUAAUAUUAGGUACAUAUUGGCCAUAAAUAUCAAAAUUACACAACCAGCCACCAAAAAAAUAUGUCGGGGUGUAAUACCACCAAAAAAUAUAACGAACACCGACCAACCCAAAAGUGUCAUAACCUAUCUAACAAGACUAGUGAUAGUGCAUAUUCUUCGUCUUCAUCCAUGACUUUGAUCUCUUGCUUUGACUUUUCCGGAGUGUCCAAAUUAAUAGGAUUGUGCUCAUUUGUUGGUUUCUUUGGCGGCAUCGGCUCCUUAGACAUGAGCUCAUCGAGGGCGGCUUUUCUAUCGAAAAACUGAAAAAGUCAUUGCUCCACCUCACCAAUCUUGUGAGUCAUCCACUCCUUAGAAGGAGGUGGUAGCGGACAAUUUUCUUUCAACUUCACAUGAAGAAAGUGUUCCGGAAUUAUGCAAAGGCACAUUAUGUUGGAAUGUGGAUUAAGUGGUGGAGCACUCCGGAUUGGGAAAUAUGCCUACUGAAAUAAAAACGAUACUACCAGCAAAACCAGCAAAAAUGAAAGAGUUUUGACGGUACAUUACAUGUUCUUUGAUGCUUGAUGAGCGUAGAAAUUUGUUUCCUGACGAUUUGCAAAGAUUUGGAAUGAAGAUUUUUACCCAAAAUUUCGCACUUUUGGGGUUUUUGGAGGUGGAGGAAAAGAAAAAAUGGAGCUUUGUGGUUGCCUGCUGGAUUUUGAACGAAAAUAGUACUUAACACAAGUUAACAUGCGCUACGUGACUUAAGUAACGUAGCGCAUGUUAACUUGCAUAGGGGCAUUUCAGUCAUUUACUUUGGGAAUGAGCGGAACCAUUUGGAUAAUGAGCAUAAUUCAAAACAGAUUAACCAAUGUCUAAACAAACAAGCGGGCCCAACAACCAACUAUAAAACCCAAGUGCAUAAAUAGCAUUAGCUACCUUCAUCAACCAAUACAAAUGGAUUUUAACUUUGUCUAACAAUUAAAUAAGGGUGUUUUCAAUGUUAUUAAAAAUUCCAUUAUUACGUUAAGUUCAUAACACUCAAAUGUAACAGCCCGAUUUUUAGCUAGAUUUAUUUUAAUUACUUUUAUUUUGUGUUUGUGUGUGAUUUUACCGGGGUUAAUAGUGCUUUUCACCCCUGUAAUAUAUGUCAUUUUCGGUUUGAUUUGCACCCUUGUAAAAAUUUUAUUUUCCGAAAAACACCCCUAAUAGGCCAUUUUCAGAAUUUUUUUUCAAGAAAUUUUGGUUUUUGAAUGGCCUAAUAAGGGUGUUUUCUGGAAAAUAAAUUUUUUACGAUGGUCCAAAUCAAACCGAAAAUUUUAUAGGGGCGAAAAUCGAAAAUGACAUAUAUUACAAGGGUGAAAAACACUAUUAACCCUAUUUUACCGUUAUUAGUUAAAAUAUCGUUUGGAGUGUAGAAAUAUUUUUGGUUUGAAUAGAAACGGGUUAAGCCCAGUAGGGUCUAGAAUUGAGCCCAAUUGAGUUGGAGCAUACCUAAACCUAAAACUUGGAGAGAAAUUCAUUCAUUCCUUUUCAUUUCACAAAGUUAGAGAGGUAGAGAGAGAAAGUGGAAGAAAUGAAGAACAAGGGUUAGAGAAAGGGGGAAGCUUGAAGAUUGAAGAAUUAGGAGCUAAAGUGAAGCUUAAGUUUGGAUUAAUCAUUAUCUAAGGUAAGGGGGUUAGUCUUCAUCAUAAUCAUAAUUGUUUUGUUUGCAAUUUUCUUUAUUUGUAUGAAAAAGUGCUUAAUUGAGCAAGUAUUUAUCUGAACCCAAUCUUUGAAUUUCGUGCUCUUGUUUUGGUGAUAAGUUUGAGUAUGUUAAUUGAAUGAUAAAUGAAUUGUUGGUGAUGAAAUAACAUGUUCAUAAUGUAUGAAAAUGGGUAGUUGUGAAAUUAUGCUUAAUUGAUGAAUUGUGACAUGUUAUUGUUGAAUUGAGGUGAGAAUCAAGUUUCAAUUGAUGUUGUUGUUGCUGAGAUAUGUUGUUGUUUAUGAUUAUGGCUUGGGUGUUCAUAUAUCAUGAUUGUUGGUGAGAAAUAAGAUGCUGUUGGUUGUUUUGCAAAAAUGGGUCAAAUGGUGAUUUUGUUUAAAAUGAUGUUUGAUUCAAGUAGUUAUAUAAAAUUGAGUGUCUUUUCAUGUUGAGAAACGUUUGGAUGCACUUUGGGAUCGAAUUUGGAUAAUGGGAAGUCAAAAAUUGGGAUUUUGGGGUGAAAAUGGAUUUUUCCUGUAAAACAGAAUUUUCUGAACUGUGCUCCCUCGCAAGGCGAGCUGGUGGCGAGCAGCUACUGUGACAACUCGCCAUGGCGAGCAAUCUUCCUCGACAGGCGAGCUUCCCAGUUGCAGCAUCCCAUGUUUUCGCAUUUUGCGUCGUUUUCACUCGUUUCCGUUUUGUUUUGCCUUUUGAUUUUAACAUGAAAGUUUUAGACAAUUGAGUUGGAAUUCCAUUGGCCUUAGUUUGACUUGAAAAUAAUGUUUUGUUUUUGAGUUAUGAAGAAAAUACUCUAAGGAGGUUUUAAUAAAACUUUACGAAAAUUCCGCACAAUUGUUUCUAAGUCAACCUAAACCUUAUGGAUUGUUUCCAAACUUCAAAGUCUGUUUAUUAUAAGUUCAAUUAAAGGUUUUAGAGUAUUUGAAACUUGGUUUAUGAAAUUGAGACUUAAUUUGGAAAAUUACUUAGAAUGUCGAUUUUUCCGGAAUGUGAUUUCUCUUAAGAAAUGGAAUGGGAUUAAUGUUGUUUAAUGAUUACUAAAUUUCCGGAAAUGGAUGAGAUUGGUUCCUUUGAACUUUACUUGGUUUUAUUUUGAAAAUGGAGAUGUAUGGAUGAAUUAUUAUAUGUUGGAUAUGAUAUUAACAUGAGGUGUUGUAUGUUCUCUUACUUGGUAUAUGAGAAAUAUUGCAAUGAUGAGAUGGUAUUGGUGAGUCCGUAUACAUUGUUAUUAUGAUAUGAUAUUGAUUAUGUAUGUGGUGAUGAAUUAUUGAUGUGAUUGCAUAAAUGCAAAUAAAUAUUGGUGAUGAUUUGGUGAGUGGUUGUGUGGACAUAUGCAUUAUUAUUGAGUCAUAUGUUCAUGCAUACAUAUUUGGUGAUGACGGAUAUGUUUAUAUAUCCAAUUGGUGAUGAUAUUGGUGAUGAUGGGCGACGGCCUAAAUAUUGGUGAUGACCGGUACCGCAUGCAUAUAGGUGUUGUGUCUAGGAUCAUAUUUUGAGGUGACAUGAGUCCUAGUUGUGAAAUUACUUGAUGUACUUGUGGUUGUAAGUGAUUGAUGGUGAUGUUUAUAUUUGAUGGAUUGUUGUGUCAUGUUAUGAUUAAUUAUGUGAAUUGAUGAACUCAUGGAAUUGGUGGAAUUGUGAAUGAUGAUUAUUGAUGAUGAUGUGUUCGUUGAAUAUAUGUCGGUGAAACUUGGAUUGCGGUGAUAAUGUAUGUAUGGAAUUUAUCUAUUUUGAUUCAUUACAUGAUAUUGGAUUAUCUUAUUCCUGUUUAUCUGUGUUAUUGAUUAUGUUGAUGUAAUACUCACCCCCAGUUGUUUUAACCACCUACUUGCCUGUAUGUGUGAGUAGACGUUGUGCAGGAGUAGUAGCUUGGUGAGUUCCUGAUGUUGGUGGAUAGUGGGAGCUUUCUCCACUAUCGGGUCUUAGAGUAGAGUUGGCUCUGAUCUAGGGUUUUGUUGUUAGCUCUAGAUCUUGUUGAAUUAUUUUUAUAUUUUGAGAUUUUGUCCAUGUGUCGGACUUGGAGAUUUCAUGCUUAUGUAUUUUGAGAUUACAUGACAUGUAUGGUUGAUGUAUAAUAAUUUGUAUCCGCUGUGACUGAUGAGUUUUUUUAUACAUGCAUGUUAGUUUCUGAUCUUUGGUUUUCGUUUUUGGUGAAAGUAGCGUCUAUUUCUCG
rnacentral:lncRNA from 1 species